rnacentral:rRNA from 1 species
AUGUCGACCUUGUUCUCGCAGGAGCUGCUCAUCUCCACAUUCGCCAUCAUUAUUGUUCCCCUCUACAUGUUGUAUCUCAGGUCUAGCAGAUCAAAGAACCCAUCAGUGCUCCCCAUAAACUGGCCAAUAGUGGGGGUCUUCCCUUACCUUAUCGCCAACUUCCACAACCUGCACGACUACCUCGCCGUCGUCCUCGCCGGAUCAGGCCACAACUUCAGGGCGCACGGCCCGCCUGGGACCGGGUUGCGGUUCUUCAUCACAUGCGAACCGGCCAACGUCCGGCACAUCUUCACGACGAACCAUGCAAACUUCCCCAAGGGCGCGGAGUUCACAGCCAUCUUUGACAUCGUGGGUGGCAGCUUCUUCACCACCGAAGGCGAGCCCUGGCCUCGGCAACGCGCAAGAGCCCGGAGAGUCUUGAGCAACCCACGGUUGCUUGCCUGUAUGACCGCUUGCUGCCGCGACAAGGUGGAGAACGGCCUCCUCCCGGUGCUCAUGCACAUGGCGAGCACCGGGACCACGUUUGACCUGCAAGAUUUGACAACAAGGCUCGUGUUCGACAUGACUGCCACGCCUCUCUUUGGCGUGGACCCGGGCCUCCUGUCCUCGAACAUGCCGCCCAUGGACGCCGCGGUCGCCAUGGACACGGUCAUAUGGAGGAAGCUCGCCACAGCGCACACGGUUCUAGGUGGGUUCGUUGAGGAGAUGAUGGAGAGGAGGAAGAAGAAGGAACAUGUUGCAAACGAGGGAGAUCCUUCUUCCGUGGACAUUCUGUCUUCCUACAUUGUUGAUCCAGACUACCAGCAGAACGACGGCUUGCUCCAUGCGACGCUCAUCAACUACAUGAUCGCGGGGAGGGACACAAUCGGCACAGCUUUGACAUGGGUCUUCUACAACCUCGCCCAAAACCCUCAUGUCAUGUCGGCCAUCCGCAACGAACUAUCACCUAUUGCAUCACGAAAAGCAGCCACAACCGCUAACAACAGCAGCACCAUGGUGAUCUUUGAACCGGAGGAGACCAAAUAUCUCGUCUACAUGAGAGCCGCCAUACACGAGUCUCUCAGGUUGCACCGCCCGGUCCCCAUCGAGCGUAAGGCAGCGUUCGCCGACGACGUGAUGCCGAGUGGCCAUGUGGUACACGCCGGUGACACCUUAUUAAUUUCUUUCCACUCCAUGGGGAGAAUGGAAGGCGUGUGGGGGAAAGACUGCCGGGAGUAUAACCCGGAUAGAUGGCUCUCAGAGGAUGGCAAGAAGCUGCGGUACGCGCCGUCUCAUAAAUAUUUGGCAUUCAGCUCGGGCCCGAGGCUGUGCCUUGGCAAGGACGUCUCAUUCAUGGAGAUGAAUACCAUUGUUGCGGCAAUGGUGUGCAACUUUGAUGUGGAAGUGGUUGAAGGGCAGAGAGUCCAGCCGAAGAUGUCUUGUGUGCUGCAGAUGAAAAAUGAACUGAUAUUGGUUUGCUGUACUGUAGGAGGAGGAAGAAGACAAAACUUAGGAGGUAUGCAUCCUAUCUACGACUACCAGCACGUAUCAUAG